rnacentral:rRNA from 1 species
UACGGGGGGGGCAAGCGUUGUUCGGAAUUACUGGGCGUAAAGGGCUCGUAGGUGGCCAACUAAGUCAGACGUGAAAUCCCCAGGCUCAACUUGGGAACUGCGUCUGAUACUGGAUGGCUUGAAUUCGGGAGAGGGAUGCAGAAUUCCAGGUGUAGCGGUGAAAUGCGUAGAUAUCUGGAGGAAUACCGGUGGCGAAGGCGGCAUCCUGGACCGAUACUGACGCUGAGGCGCGAAAGCUAGGGGAGCAAACGGG